CUUCAAACUAUUAAUAACGGUUUCAGUAAGCUAUCUGAAACAGUGAUAAUACAUCAAAUUGUACAUAAAUUAUCGAACAAUAUGGGACCUAAAACUCGUGAUAAAUAGUAGAAUUGUUACGCCACCUUAUGUGGAAUGAUUUUUGUGCUACACACAAACACAUGUGCAUUUUACUGUAUGUUACAUAUAUCAAACAGUUUGGUGAACAGUUGCAUGCCUUAUGGUGUUAGUGAUCGAAUUGCCGUUGCAAAUUUUUCGUUGUGUUACUGUCAAAUUUAUUUUUUUCGGAGUCAGCCACCAUCGUUUCAUAUAAUUUUGGAGCAUUAAAACUGCGAUAGACACCUAAUAAGUUAUUAUAUCAACUCGAGCAAAAAGCAUUCCAUUAUACCGCUACUUCUCGGUUUCAGCAAAGUGGAGAAAGUGUUCUGCUGACAGCUGUAGUUUUCUUAUCCGAUCGACAGAGAGGUGCCGAUAGAAAUGUGGCCUUGCUCGCUAACCCAACGCUACUGUAAAAAAAUGUGUUGUUCCCAAAUAGCAUCUGCAAUGCUGGUUGUUUCCCGAAAAAAGUACCCAGCUUCUCAGCCCAAUCUUUGCUAAGUAACCCACAACCCACAUUAUCCUGAUGUACGCGUGGAUUGGCUGGGACUCGUGUGGAUGGACCCAAGGAAAAGUUGACGACCAACGAAGGAACCAACUCCAGUGCAUCAUAUUUGCCGUUCAAGUAAUGGUAGCAACGACUGCGAAACAGUGGCCUCCGGCAGGUGCCUCUUAUGAAGGUUCUGGCAAACCAUAUCUGAGAUAUAGACCAACGAAGACGAUCGCACCCAGAGCUGUCGAGUGUACGGAGCACAAAGCAUCCAAUGGAAUACCCAGUUAUGUUCAAAUAUCUCCAGCCAGGAAAAAAUGGAGCAGAAAAAUAUGAUAAAGGAUGAAAACACCGAUGUCAAUGGGUUAUUUUGGUCGUAACCAGGUCGUUCUUUGUUUGACGAUUCCAUGCGUGGACAAUAAAAUAUUCAACGGUACGGUACCGGUAUCACUGACUACAAUGGCAAGCGAAAGGUGGAUGUUGAAAUCCAUUCAGUUGAACGUUAUGAAAAAAAUACUCUAAAUGUUAUUACACGAUGCAGCGAAGUUCGAAACAAACAACGAAGUUCAAAACAAUAUUUUAAGAAUAAUCGUUCCGUUUUCAAUUUUCAAAGUCCAUUCAUUUUGCAUGUUAGAUUGACUAACAGGUUUUUUUUAUAUUCUACUUCGACGGUCUUGGGGAAGAUUCAUGGAUAGGUAACGAAGCUGAACGCUGUUAAGUUCGUGAUUUAUUUAGUGAUUAAUCUUGAAAGAUUACAGUUUAUGUUACGAAUAUUAUGUUUAUAUUGGGCGUUUAUUUAGUUCAUAUAAACCUAUCCAGUCUUUUCUAUAUUUUAGAAUUAGACGUAAAUGUGUAUACAAAU